ensembl:lncRNA
AGGGUUGCUCAUGACCUGCACAGGUGGGGGCAGGGGCUUCAAAUGUACACAGUGUCCCACUGAUUGUGUGCUCACGGGCGCACACACACAUAUGACCCCACCUGACCUCAUCUUGCAGGACAAGUGAGAGUUAAACGUGCCAGUUCAAGUUCAUUCCAUCUCUUAGCUUUGUACCUGACUCUUCAAAGGUUGGAACAGCUGCAAGGCUGUCUCUUGCUCUCAAGAGGACACCCCUCCUCCCUGUUCUUCUUUGCUAAGCUGCAGGGAUGCGGCUGUGCCUUCAGGGACUGCUGGUCCCUGGGCUGUAGGGGACAGGCCAUCUUGCUCUCAACCCUUCCCACCACCACCCCCCCACCACCCCAGUAGUCCUGUAGCUGGGGUCCCAGGGUCUGCUCACUACACCUAAGCCAGGCAAGGGGAUUGCAACCUCCACAGCAGGGCCCUGCUGCUGGGUUUCCCAAUCUGGGGACAGCUGCCCAACGGUCUAGCUAUGACCCCAUAAUUACCCCUGGAGUGGCUGGCUGCUCUGCAGUUCUUGGUUAGAAGGCUGAUCCCUUGGCAAGUUCACAAGACACUCUCAGCUUCCUUCUGGUUCCCUUCCAUGCCGCUGGGAGUCCAGGAGCCUGGGGGCUCUGCUCCAAGCCCCUUUUAUGCUUCAUGAACUUGUGUCACUCAGGGGACAGCCCUGCUAUGGAAGUUGGCCCUCAGUUCCAGAAGCACAGGGAAUGAGGUAAGUGGCAGCGUCGCCUUUGACCUUUGACUUUCUUUCUUCCCCGCUCCUGGGGUCCCACCUGAGCUGCCAAGGCCCCUGAGUUUCAUGAAACCUGGCAGCAUUCUCUGACACCCCUCCCCCGUCCUGAGGUCCCUCUGUCCAGCGCCAGCUCACCUUCUUGUCACAUUCAGUGUCUGCUCCACCUUGCACCAGCUUAGAAUAAGCCCCAGGGCUCAGAGCUCCAAGCGCUGCACCUGAUGUAUACAGGACAACGUACAGAACUUAGCAAACAUUUUCUUCUGCCGCAGAGCCUGGCUUCUAAAGCUCUGGGCUGUGGCUUGGAGCUCCUAGCCUGGCUGCACGUUCUCUUUCUCUUUGUGCCUUGUUACCACCCUGAUCUCCUGUGGCACUGGGUGCCUCUGGCAGGUGAGCGGGAAGGUCACAGAGAAGAAAAGAAGAAAAAACCUGCAUGUGCCACUUUUCGAGAGGAAGAAACUUGAAGACAAUGCUCAGGACAAAACUAUCUUUUCCCCGUAGGAUGGAGACUGUGGAAUUCUAGUGAUGCUGUGAUGAAAACCAACGGUGAGCCCCCUGGAAAGGGUAAAAGGUAGUGAUAACUGAGGCUAAAACUUACCAAGUACCUCUGAGUGCCUCCUAUGUGCUGGAGUUCCCCAUAGAUGCUUUAUAUCCCAAGCCCUCCCAACAAAGUUGCAGGAUGAGAUAAAACUCUCAAUUUAGAGAGUUUAAGCAUUGGAUCCAAGUCUCAAAGCAGUAACUGCAGAAGAACAAGUCAAACCCAGCACUCUCUCAUUUCCUGCAUCCCCUGCCAUCUUGCCGGGGCCCUGAGAGGCAAGGUUGAAACACAGAAGCUCAGUAUUUGGAGGAAAAGUAGUUUGAGAAUCACCUUGAGGAAGGGAAUAUGACAGCCUGCUGUCAAUGACAUGAAUGAGUUGUUGGCCUGUGGCUAAGACAUAGAUCCAAACUCCUCUUGGAGCUAAGAGGCCCCUGCCUGCUCUGGGUCCCAGAGACCUCUCAGAUCUCCGCCCCUCCCACACCACCUCUGCUUGCCCCCUUGCUGCUUUUGCCAGUCAUGUUCCUGCAUUUGCAAUUCCCAGUUUGGAGCACUCUGUCCUCAAGCCUGGGCAUGGUCCCUCUCUACCUCAUCCAGGUCUCUGCUCCAAAGAUACACCCUCAGGGAGUCCUUCCUAACCACUCUGUCAUUACACCCACCCCAUUCUGUUGAGUUAGGCUGCCUUUUUUUCUCUUUUGCCAAAUAGCACUGGGUACUCCCUGACCUUAUACUGUAUAUUUGUCUUCUUAUUUAUAUUUAUUUUCUGUCUUCCCCACUACAGUGACAGACCUAGGAGGUCAGGAGCUUCAUCUGUGCUGAUCAUUGCUGUAAUCCUGGGGCUUGGAGCAGGGCCAGCACACAGCAAGUACUCAAUACAUAGACACAGGGCCAAAGACUUGGUUAGCAGGGCAGGGAGAGCCUUGUGACUU